rnacentral:misc_RNA from 1 species
ACAAAAAUCAACGCAAAGUAAAUGUUACGUUCGUUUGGCAGUUUAUCAACAUUCUUUCAUUUGACACGGAUAAUGUAGAUUUCAUAUAGAGUUUUGUAAAGUUGUGCCUCAUUUGUAACUGUUAAGUGCCAAGACGAAUCAGAUGAUGUCUCAAAUGCACGAGCAGCUUACUUGUUCCAUCUGUUUGGAGCUAUAUAAGGACCCAGUCCGUCUAACAUGCUUCCAUGUAUUUUGCAAAAAAUGCAUUAUGGACAGCAUGGACACUGGUCACAGAAGACCAGUUUGCCCAGAAUGCAAUGCACCCAUCGAAAAUGAUGACGAAGGUUCAUUGAAGAAAGACUUCAAAAUAGCAGCACUAGUCCAAACUGUGAAAGAAACACCAAAAUGUGUUGAACAUCACGACGACACGGGAGAGCGCAAAGCGCAUGUAAUAUGUCAGACAUGUUGUAAACUAUUGUGUGUGAAAUGUGUCUUCAGUGAGAAACAUAGAAACCAUGAUACGGAUGACCUUGAAUCAGCCAUUGCCAAACAGAAGGACAUUUUUGAAAGGAAGAUACCAGCAGUUAAAAGAAAAUUAGCAGAGUAUAACAAGCAGCUUGCUGACACGAAAAGAGCUCAUACAGAAAUAACAAGAGGCGAGGAGGAGAGCAGGUUAAACUUCAAACGUUUAAUUGCUUGUAUCAAAGCAAACGUAGAGAACUUGCAGACACAUGGGGAUCAAGGCUAUUUCCAAUAGUAGUGCAUGAAUUGAUGAAUGUGUGCACAGAGAGGGAAUCAUGAAUUGAAACGGAAAGUUACCUAUGGAGAAAAACUUAUUAAAUGCCACUGAUGAAUUUGAAAAAGAUCCUGCGACUUCGUUUAAGGUCAUAAAAGAAUAUGAUGAAAGCGG